rnacentral:rRNA from 1 species
GAGGAUAACUCGAUUCUUCCACUCCCAGGGAGUUUGGAGGCUUCUGGAGUCAAGUCUGUCUGGGGUGAAGACUCCCAAGAAAGGAGAUGUAAAGAGUACGGUUAGGGUACCGGUAAAAAGGGUUGAUCCUUUCUGGACUAACAACAGCGAAGGCACUUUACAAGAACGGAUCUGACAGUCAGGGAUGAAGGCUAGGGGCGCAAAACGGAUUAGAUACCCGUGUAGUCCUAGCAGUAAACACUGCACACUAAACAUUGGGACCUCUUCGAGAGGUUUCAGUGCUGUAGGGAAGCCGUAGAGUGUGCUACCUGGGAAGUAUAGUCGCAAGGCCGAAACUUAAAGGAAUUGGCGGAGAGACACUACAACAGGUGACGCGUGCGGUUCAAUUAGAUUAUACACCGUGAACCUUACCAGGACCGACAGCAGAAUGAAGGUCAGUCUAAAGGGCUUACCUGACACGCUGAGAGGAGAUGCAUGGCCGACGUCAGCCUGUGUCGUGAGAUGACCUGUUAAAUCAGGUAACAGGCGAGACCCGUAUGUAUAUUUACUACGUGUACAAUAUACAGACUGCCUUGGUAACAAGGAGGAAGGUGCGGGCUACGUUAGGUGAGUACGUCCCGAAUGUCCUGGGCUACACGCGCGCGGCAAUGCUGCAUUCAGAGGGUUGCGACACCGAAAGGUGAAGCUAAUCUCAUAAACUGCAGCCUAGUUCAGAUCGAGGGUUGCAACUCACCCUCGUGACGCUGGAAUUCGUAGUAAUCGUGUGUUAUCAGCAGACGGUGAAUAUGUCAAUGCUCCUUGCACUCACCGCCCGUCAAACCAACCGAGUUUAGCUUUGGUGAGGCCCGUCAGGGACGAGCCUUGGUUAGACAAGGUAGGUUAAGUCGUCACAAGGUAUCCGUAGGGGAACCUGCGGAUG